CUGAAACCCUGUUUUACAUUCAAACAAGAGCAGUGAGCGCUUCCCAUCAUCUUGGACCGGACAUGUCAACUGGGGGUCAAUCAAAUGACAUGGAUGAAGAAGCGAAGGCAGUGACUUAUGCAUCAGUGGAUUUCUCAACAAGGAAAGUGAAAAGAGGAAGGAGAAAGGAGAGAGAAAUGCCAAAAGAUUGUAUGUACUCUGUUGUUAGAUCAGAUCACUACAACCAGCCACACCCCUCUCUAUAGUCAGAGAUUCGUGUUGCUUUCUGAAUGUGUUGAUACAGGAAGUGUGCCAGCAUUACUGUAAGGUGUCAUCUAGGUCGACAUGUCUGUGGAACUGUUUGCUUCUGUUUUUUUGUUGACAUAAUAAAACUUGAUAUUUA